rnacentral:rRNA from 1 species
AGCAGCCGCGGUAAUUCCAGCUCCAAUAGCGUAUAUUAAAGUUGUUGCAGUUAAAAGCUCGUAGUUGAAUUUCGGGAUUAAUAUGCUGGUCGUGCCAUUGGUACGUACUAGUAUUAUUGAUUUCUCCCUUCUGAUGAAUCAUGAUGUCAUUAAUUUGAUGUCAUGGGGAAUCAGGACUGUUACUUUGAAAAAUUAGAGUGUUUAAAGCAGGCUCGCGCUUGAAUACAUUAGCAUGGAAUAAUGAAAUAGGACGUUUGAUUCUAUUUUGUUGGUUUCUAGGAUUGACGUAAUGAUUAAUAGGGAUAGUUGGGGCAUUAGUAUUCAAUUGUCAGAGGUGAAAUUCUUGGAUUUAUUGAAGACUAACUACUGCGAAAGCAUUUGCCAAGGAUGUUUUCAUUAAUCAAGAACGAAAGUUAGGGGAUCGAAGACGAUCAGAUACCGUCGUAGUCU